GGAAUCUUCCACAAUGGGCGCAAGCCUGAUGGAGCAACGCCGCGUGUGUGAUGAAGGGUUUCGGCUCGUAAAACACUGUUAUAAGAGAAGAACGGCACUGAGAGUAACUGUUCAGUGUGUGACGGUAUCUUACCAGAAAGGAACGGCUAAAUACGUGCCAGCAGCCGCGGUAAUACGUAUGUUCCAAGCGUUAUCCGGAUUUAUUGGGCGUAAAGCGAGCGCAGACGGUUAUUUAAGUCUGAAGUGAAAGCCCUCAGCUCAACUGAGGAAUUGCUUUGGAAACUGGAUGACUUGAGUGCAGUAGAGGAAAGUGGAACUCCAUGUGUAGCGGUGAAAUGCGUAGAUAUAUGGAAGAACACCAGUGGCGAAGGCGGCUUUCUGGACUGUAACUGACGUUGAGGCUCGAAAGUGUGGGUAGCAAACA
rnacentral:rRNA from 1 species